UUGGACAGAAUCCUUCGGGAGGAAGACCAUUGUGACUGAGUGGCGGACGGGUGAGUAACGCGUGGGUAACCUGCCUUUCAGAGGGGGACAACAGUUGGAAACGAUUGCUAAUACCGCAUGACGCAUUUAGGGGGCAUCCCUUGAAUGCCAAAGAUUUAUCGCUGAAAGAUGGCCUCGCGUCCGAUUAGAUAGUUGGCGGGGUAACGGCCCACCAAGUCGACGAUCGGUAGCCGGACUGAGAGGGCGGACGGCCACAUUGGGACUGAGACACGGCCCAAACUCC
rnacentral:rRNA from 1 species